AUUGAACGCUGGCGGCAGGCCUAACACAUGCCAGUCGAGCGGAUGAAGGGAGCUUGCUCCUGGAUUCAGCGGCGGACGGGUGAGUAAUGCCUAGGAAUCUGCCUGGUAGUGGGGGAUAGCGUCCGGAAACGGGCGCUAAUACCGCAUACGUCCUGAGGGAGAAAGUGGGGGAUCUUCGGACCUCACGCUAUCAGAUGAGCCUAGGUCGGAUUAGCUAGUUGGUGGGGUAAAGGCCUACCAAGGCGACGAUCCGUAACUGGUCUGAGAGGAUGAUCAGUCACACUGGAACUGAGACACGGUCCAGACUCCUACGGGAGGCAGCAGUGGGGAAUAUUGGACAAUGGGCGAAAGCCUGAUCCAGCCAUGCCGCGUGUGUGAAGAAGGUCUUCGGAUUGUAAAGCACUUUAAGUUGGGAGGAAGGGCAGUAAGUUAAUACCUUGCUGUUUUGACGUUACCAACAGAAUAAGCACCGGCUAACAUCGUG
rnacentral:rRNA from 1 species